AUGGGGAGGGCAGCUCUACCUGCAUCUGUGGAAUUGAUUCCUGUGACCUAAACUAUUGACUGUAAGAGGGAACAAUUCCUUAAGACUACGUGUGCAGAGCAAGGGUUCUAUAUGGCCCUGGCUGAGCCUCGGCACCUUUCUUCCAUCUACACGUGUUCACCCAAGAACACCGUGACCAGGAUCAUCCGACCUGGAAACUGAGAGACGAUAAGAGAUUUGGGGAGUAUGACUCUCUGUUCUGCCACGGGGCUGCUUCAUUUCUAAGCAAUUCCUAGCAACUUGUGGAAACAACUCCUGACAGGAAGUUACAGAGCACCAGCCAACAAACAGUUCACACAGAAAUUGGGUUCACUGGCCACUCUCAGGAUACCAGACCUCUGACCGGUAGACACGUUGUGGAAUGUCUGUUCUUCGGAAGACUCUUUGUGGCUCAUGAUGGUGACCUUGGACAGCUUCCCUGACCUUCCGACUACAGUGUGGAAGUGCGGACACCAAGAACAGGAGUCUUGUGCCCUAUGAAGGCAAGAUGAACCCUGAGAUUUGACGGCUCUAGCUGGAGAUGGCUUAACCCUGCCAACAAACUGCAUGUCUGGCAAGCACGGAAGAGAGAAAGCCAAACAGAGGUGGAGGUCUUCAUCGAGGAUGCAGAAACCACGAAGUGUGAUUGAUGGCUGUCCAGGAAAGAAUCCCAUAAUGAGUUUUGAAGAGUUCACAGCUAUUCCAACAAAAACGCCACAAAUAAAUCCAUGUGCAUGUGUGUGCACAUGUGUGUAUAUGUGUGUAUGGAUGUAUCAUUGUAUGUUCAUGUGCCUAUGUG